rnacentral:tRNA from 2 species
UCCUCUGUAGCUCAGUGGUAGAGCACUCGCCUGUUAAGCGAUUGGUCGGAGGUUCGAAUCCUCCCGGAGGAGCAA